rnacentral:rRNA from 1 species
UACAGAGGUCCCAAGCGUUGUUCGGAUUCAUUGGGCGUAAAGGGUGCGUAGGCGGACCUGCAAGUCGGGGGUGAAAGCCCGAGGCUCAACCUCGGAACUGCCUUCGAUACUGCGGGUCUCGAGUCCGGGAGAGGUGAGUGGAAUUCCUAGUGUAGAGGUGAAAUUCGUAGAUAUUAGGAAGAACACCAGUGGCGAAGGCGGCUCACUGGCCCGGUACUGACGCUGAGGCGCGAAAGCGUGGGGAGCAAACAGG